rnacentral:rRNA from 1 species
CGUGCUUAACACAUGCAAGUCGAACGGUGAACACGGAGCUUGCUCUGUGGGAUCAGUGGCGAACGGGUGAGUAACACGUGAGCAACCUGCCCCUGACUCUGGGAUAAGCGCUGGAAACGGCGUCUAAUACUGGAUAUGUGACGUGACCGCAUGGUCUGCGUCUGGAAAGAAUUUCGGUUGGGGAUGGGCUCGCGGCCUAUCAGCUUGUUGGUGAGGUAAUGGCUCACCAAGGCGUCGACGGGUAGCCGGCCUGAGAGGGUGACCGGCCACACUGGGACUGAGACACGGCCCAGACUCCUACGGGAGGCAGCAGUGGGGAAUAUUGCACAAUGGGCGCAAGCCUGAUGCAGCAACGCCGCGUGAGGGAUGACGGCCUUCGGGUUGUAAACCUCUUUUAGCAGGGAAGAAGCGAAAGUGACGGUACCUGCAGAAAAAGCGCCGGCUAACUACGUGCCAGCAGCCGCGGUAAUACGUAGGGCGCAAGCGUUAUCCGGAAUUAUUGGGCGUAAAGAGCUCGUAGGCGGUUUGUCGCGUCUGCUGUGAAAUCCGGAGGCUCAACCUCCGGCCUGCAGUGGGUACGGGCAGACUAGAGUGCGGUAGGGGAGAUUGGAAUUCCUGGUGUAGCGGUGGAAUGCGCAGAUAUCAGGAGGAACACCGAUGGCGAAGGCAGAUCUCUGGGCCGUAACUGACGCUGAGGAGCGAAAGGGUGGGGAGCAAACAGGCUUAGAUACCCUGGUAGUCCACCCCGUAAACGUUGGGAACUAGUUGUG